rnacentral:rRNA from 1 species
AAUUGAAGAGUUUGAUCAUGGCUCAGAUUGAACGCUGGCGGCAGGCCUAACACAUGCAAGUCGAACGGUAACAGGAAGCAGCUUGCUGCUUCGCUGACGAGUGGCGGACGGGUGAGUAAUGUCUGGGAAACUGCCUGAUGGAGGGGGAUAACUACUGGAAACGGUAGCUAAUACCGCAUAAUGUCGCAGGACCAAAGAGGGGGACCUUCGGGCCUCUUGCCAUCAGAUGUGCCCAGAUGGGAUUAGCUUGUUGGUGAGGUAACGGCUCACCAAGGCGACGAUCCCUAGCUGGUCUGAGAGGAUGACCAGCCACACUGGAACUGAGACACGGUCCAGACUCCUACGGGAGGCAGCAGUGGGGAAUAUUGCACAAUGGGCGCAAGCCUGAUGCAGCCAUGCCGCGUGUAUGAAGAAGGCCUUCGGGUUGUAAAGUACUUUCAGCGGGGAGGAAGGUGUUGUGGUUAAUAACCGCAGCAAUUGACGUUACCCGCAGAAGAAGCACCGGCUAACUCCGUGCCAGCAGCCGCGGUAAUACGGAGGGUGCAAGCGUUAAUCGGAAUUACUGGGCGUAAAGCGCACGCAGGCGGUCUGUCAAGUCGGAUGUGAAAUCCCCGGGCUCAACCUGGGAACUGCAUUCGAAACUGGCAGGCUUGAGUCUUGUAGAGGGGGGUAGAAUUCCAGGUGUAGCGGUGAAAUGCGUAGAGAUCUGGAGGAAUACCGGUGGCGAAGGCGGCCCCCUGGACAAAGACUGACGCUCAGGUGCGAAAGCGUGGGGAGCAAACAGGAUUAGAUACCCUGGUAGUCCACGCCGUAAACGAUGUCUACUUGGAGGUUGUGCCCUUGAGGCGUGGCUUCCGGAGCUAACGCGUUAAGUAGACCGCCUGGGGAGUACGGCCGCAAGGUUAAAACUCAAAUGAAUUGACGGGGGCCCGCACAAGCGGUGGAGCAUGUGGUUUAAUUCGAUGCAACGCGAAGAACCUUACCUGGUCUUGACAUCCACAGAACCCUGUAGAGAUACGGGGGUGCCUUCGGGAACUGUGAGACAGGUGCUGCAUGGCUGUCGUCAGCUCGUGUUGUGAAAUGUUGGGUUAAGUCCCGCAACGAGCGCAACCCUUAUCCUUUGUUGCCAGCGGUCCGGCCGGGAACUCAAAGGAGACUGCCAGUGAUAAACUGGAGGAAGGUGGGGAUGACGUCAAGUCAUCAUGGCCCUUACGACCAGGGCUACACACGUGCUACAAUGGCGCAUACAAAGAGAAGCGACCUCGCGAGAGCAAGCGGACCUCAUAAAGUGCGUCGUAGUCCGGACUGGAGUCUGCAACUCGACUCCAUGAAGUCGGAAUCGCUAGUAAUCGUGGAUCAGAAUGCCACGGUGAAUACGUUCCCGGGCCUUGUACACACCGCCCGUCACACCAUGGGAGUGGGUUGCAAAAGAAGUAGGUAGCUUAACCUUCGGGAGGGCGCUUACCACUUUGUGAUUCAUGACUGGGGUGAAGUCGUAACAAGGUAACCGUAGGGGAACCUGCGGUUGGAUCACCUCCUUA